UACAGAGGAGCCAAGCGUUGUCCGGAUUGACUGGGCGUAAAGCGCACGCAGGCGGUUGCGCGCGGGGGGGGUGAAAUCUGGCCGCUUAACGGCCAGGCGCCAUCCCAUACGGCGCGACUGGAGUGAUGCAGAGGUCGAUGGAAUUGCCGGUGUAGUGGUGAAAUGCGUAGAUAUCGUCUGGAACGCCAAAGGUGAAGACAGUCUGCUGGGGACUUGCUGACGCUGAGACACGAAAGCCAGGGGAGCGAACGGG
rnacentral:rRNA from 1 species